UGAGGAAUUUUGCGCAAUGGGGGAAACCCUGACGCAGCAACGCCGCGUGGGUGAUGAAGGCCUUCGGGUCGUAAAGCCCUGUCGGGCGGGAAGAACGUCCCUUCGGGGAAUGACGGUACCGCCAGAGGAAGCACCGGCUACUUCCGUGCCAGCAGCCGCGGUAAUACGGAGGGUGCAAGCGUUAUUCGGAAUUACUGGGCGUAAAGGGCGUGCAGGCGGGAGAGCAAGUCUGAUGUGAAAGCCCGGGGCUUAACCCCGGAAGGGCAUUGGAAACUGCUUGUCUUGAGGUCUGGAGAGGAAGGGAGAAUU
rnacentral:rRNA from 1 species